rnacentral:lncRNA from 1 species
AUAUCCUGAAGUAAAAAAUGCUCUGUAAGUGUGAACUGAUUCAAAACAUAGCUACAUUAUCAGUGCCCAGGAAGAUUUGCACUGAGAGAGCUGCCACCAUUCUAAGAAAGUUUGCAGACAUCCUUUGAGUCAUGGAUUAGUCACCAGCAAGCACAGAAAGAUUGAUGGAAACGGGGCCGGACACAGGCAUGGGCAAACUGGGUGGCCGCCUGGGACCCGGACAGGAAGGGGGCCUGAAGAUGGUAAGUUUGUUAUUAUUAUGAUCGUUAUUUCUUGCAAAGGGGGGCCUGAUACUAAAAGUUCACC